rnacentral:sRNA from 1 species
AGCAGCCGCGGUAAUUCCAGCUCCAAUAGCGUAUAUUAAAGUUGUUGCAGUUAAAAAGCUCGUAGUUGAAUUUCGGGAUUAAUUUACUGGUCGUGCUAUUGUACGUACUGGUUUUAUUGAUUCCUCCCUUCUGACGAACUAUGAUGUCAUUAAUUUGGUGUCAUAGGGAAUCAGGACUGUUACUUUGAAAAAAUUAGAGUGUUUAAAGCAGGCUCACGCUUGAAUACAUUAGCAUGGAAUAACGGAAUAGGACGUUUGAUUCUAUUUUGUUGGUUUCUAGGAUCGACGUAAUGAUUAAUAGGGAUAGUUGGGGGCAUUAGUAUUCAAUUGUCAGAGGUGAAAUUCUUGGAUUUAUUGAAGACUAACUACUGCGAAAGCAUUUGCCAAGGAUGUUUUCAUUAAUCAAGAACGAAAGUUAGGGGAUCGAAGACGAUCAGAUACCGUCGUAGUCUUAACCAUAAACUAUGCCGACUAGGGAUCGGAUGAUGUUAAUUUUU